rnacentral:misc_RNA from 1 species
GAAGAGGGGCAAAGAGAGAAAAGCCUUUACCUUUGAGCAGACGACGAGCUCAGUAUCGUCACCAAGCUGCGAAAAGCUCUCUGUUCACCGCCCUUUCGUCUCCAGCAUCUACUGGACCCGCAGACUGUCGCUCGACCUCCAAAGCGUCUUACCCUAAGCUGGUUUUUCUUGCCUCCGAUUCAUCGAAACGGCACACACCCUUCCCAGAGGGUGACAACCAAAGACGCAUCGACUGACAAGCGAAGGACUUCCAGUUACCUUCUGUUUCUAACGGUGUCACCACCAACGGGGGCACUUGGAAGUGACUUGCCGGCGAGAUAUCAAACUAAGUUUGUUUCUCAGUCUUGCUUUGCUCUACAGAAGGCAAGAUUACCCAUCUCAACAGCGAAGUUAGAAAUUUUGUGGAAAAGCAUAUAAGAAUUCCUCCAAAUGGCUUUGGUUGUAAUCUGUGGCCAGCCAUGCAGUGGGAAGUCUACAGCUGCUCUUUGCUUAGCUGAAGCUCUAAGAGAAUCUGAAUCAAAAUUAAACGUUAGGGUCAUUGAUGAUGCUUACUUCCAUCUUGAUCGUAAUCAGAGUUAUGCCAAUAUGACUGCAGAGAAAAAUUUAAGAGGAGUACUCAGGUCUGAAGUUGAUAGAUCUGUAUCAAAAGACAAUAUAAUCAUAUUAGAUUCUUUGAACAGCAUCAAGGGCUACAGGUAUGAGCUUUGGUGUUUGGCUCGUGCUGCAGGAAUAAGAUACUGUGUACUUUUUUGCGAUGUUGAAGAAACUCAAUGCCAAAAAUGGAAUGAGCAGCGCAUAGAAAAGGGAGAAGCUGCAUAUGACAAUGCCAUAUUUGAGGACUUGGUAAGAAGGUUUGAGACACCAGAUAAAAGAAACCGAUGGGAUUCUCCUUUGUUUGAGUUUUGGCCAAGUAAAGACGGAAUUCAGAAAUCUUCUGCUGCCAUUUUAGAUGCUAUUUCAUACUUGACAAAAAAAGUGGACUCCAAAUCUCGUGACGUGAAAAUUUUACAGCCAACAAUUGCUACACAAAAUACACGUUUUUCAGAGGCAAAUUCUUUGUACGAGUUGGACAGGGCAACACAAGAGGUGAUCAAUGUCAUUGUAGAGGCACAAUCCCAGGCAAUUGGAGGUCCAGUAAAUGGUGUUUUGCUUGGUCGGGAUUUACCAACUCUCACUAUUUCAAGAUCAGUUGGCUUGCCUGAGCUACGGAGACUACGGAGAACUUUCAUUAAGUUGACAGGUCAAACGAGCUUAAGUGGACCACCACCACCUGCAGAUGCAGAGAGCGCAGAAAGGAUGUUUGUGGAUUAUUUGAAUAGGGAAUUAGGAACUGCUUGAAGGAGGAUAUGGGGGAAUGAUAUUAUGCUAAUUUGCUACCACAAACAUCUGUGGAGAAAGUGAAACCUGCGAGUUAAAUUCUAAAAUGGUCAGUCUUUUAAUAUAUUGUACCAACAGAUUUACACAAAAACACCUGCAUUUUAUUGGAUAGUCACUCUGUGUUGGCAAAUCUAUAUUGUAUUAGUGAAGGCUGAAUUCUUG